AUUGAACGCUGGCGGCAGGCUUAACACAUGCAAGUCGAGCGGGGUAUGGUGCUUGCACUAUCACUUAGCGGCGGACGGGUGAGUAAUGCUUAGGAAUCUGCCUAUUAGUGGGGGACACCAUCUCGAAAGGGAUGCUAAUACCGCAUACGUCCUACGGGAGAAAGCAGGGGAUCACUUGUGACCUUGCGCUAAUAGAUGAGCCUAAGUCGGAUUAGCUAGUUGGUGGGGUAAAGGCCUACCAAGGCGACGAUCUGUAGCGGGUCUGAGAGGAUGAUCCGCCACACUGGGACUGAGACACGGCCCAGACUCCUACGGGAGGCAGCAGUGGGGAAUAUUGGACAAUGGGGGGAACCCUGAUCCAGCCAUGCCGCGUGUGUGAAGAAGGCCUUAUGGUUGUAAAGCACUUUAAGCGAGGAGGAGGCUCUUUUGGUUAAUACCCAAGAUGAGUGGACGUUACUCGCAGAAUAAGCACCGGCUAACUCUGUGCCAGCCGCCGCUGUAA
rnacentral:rRNA from 1 species